rnacentral:rRNA from 1 species
AUACGUAGGGUGCAAGCGUUAAUCGGAAUUACUGGGCGUAAAGCGUGCGCAGGCGGUUUUUUAAGACAGUGGUGAAAUCCCCGGGCUCCACCUGGGGACUGCCAUUGUGACUGCAAGGCUGGAGUGCGGCAGAGGGGGGUGGAAUUCACCCGGUAGCAGGGCAAUGCGUAGAUAUGCGGAGGAACACCGAUGGCGAAGGCAAUCCCCUGGGCCUGCACUGACGCUCAUGCACGAAAGCGUGGGGAGCAAACUGGAUUAGAUACCCUGGUAGUCCACGCCCUAAACGAUGUCAACUGGUUGUUGGGGAUUUAUUUUCUCAGUAACGAAGCUAACGCGUGAAGUUGACCGCCUGGGGAGUACGGCCGCAAGGUUAAAACUCAAAUGAAUUGACGGGG